AACUCAUGUUUACAAAGUGCACUGAGGGAAUAAAUCAAGCGAGGGACGUCUGGAGGACCAGAGGAGCUCCAGAGGAGCACACGGUGGUCUCCUCAUGGUCCUCUGGACGUCUAUGAGAAACCGACUGUGCUUCUCUUUGGGGAUGUGAUGACAUCAGAAUGUGAUGACUCGGGCGUCUGAUUCUGGAACUUGGAUGCUUCUAAAGUUUAGAUUCUAAACCAAACAUUUCAUUCCAGGAUUCACUUCAACAAGACCAGGUUGUGUCUGUCAGGUCUAUCGGGGGGAACUGGCGGGUUUAACCUCUGCUGGGCUUCAGUCUACUCCAAAAAGCAUGUACGGGACAGUUCUUUGAUCACCGCUACGCUAGAUGAUCCUCCGUGGGCUGCGGACAAUGUUCCACACCAUGGCCAGAAGAGACGGCGUGCGGGUCCCCGGAGGCCUACUUCCUGCUCUCUACUUCAAUCUGGAAGGCGCUCUCACGCGCGCUGACAGACAAGUACAGUCUCUGACUCACCUGCAGCAGGCUUCAGUCAGUGAAAAGGCCUCCGCCUGCAGCCGGCUGGAGCUCCAAGAGCGAAAAGAGGAGGAAUCCGCAGCCGAAAUCGCCCGUCUCAAGGAGAGCCUCAAACUGAAGGCGGAGGAGUUGGAAGCGGCCCAGCGGAGGAGCCAGCGGGAAUGCGAGGAGAAGGAGGUCGGGAGGCGUAGGACCCAUGUGCCGGAUGCUAGGUUCAGAGCUCUGGUUCAGGUCACAACGGAACUGAACCAGAGAAACCAGGUCUGGAAACAGAGGGAGCAGGAGGUCACGGACGAGAUGGAGGACCUCGAGGCAAAGUUUAGGGAGAACCUUGCUGAGACAGAAGGAGGCCUGCGUGCGAGCUGCAGAGCUCUGGUUCGAGUCACAGGGGGCCUGAAACAGAAAGUCUGUGGCUGGAAGCGAAAGGAGCAGGAGAUGGAGGGCGAGAGGGAGGAACUCGAGGAAUCUACACGUGCAGAUCUGGUGUUGACCACAGGGGGCGCAUUGAUGUGAGGGUGCACGCAGUCAGUUCCCUUUAAAGACAUUAUCUUCAGGCGAAUUAACCGAGUGGAAGGAAACCAAAAGAGGGAGAAAAACAUCAAAUGUUUGCUAACAUUAACAAAAUACACUACUUAUCACACAAUACCAACUGUACUGGAAGUGUUUUUAUUCAGGAGAGAAUAAAAACUGGAGAGAUGUGCUCUACUUAUUUCUUCCAUUAUUCAUUUCCUUCUUUACAGGAGAAUUUCUCUUAGAGAUACUGGC
ensembl:lncRNA